ACCUGCACUUCGUAGAAAAGCGAACUUGUAUACAUUGAUACAAAUAUGUAAUUUAAAGCUCUCUCUCUCUCAAUCUCUUUUUCGCUCGCUGUGACUGUUUAACUUUUUCCGAGUUUUUCUUGCAUUAUUCGGUAGAUUUCAGCGGCUACUGGUAGUAAUCAUCCGAAACUCUCGGUAAACAAAUUAAAACAAAUUUUGAAAUUAAAAUUUGUUUCUAAUACACACACAUAUAUACAUACAAAGCAGGGGUGCCUUUAAUGCCAAAAAGGUCAGUUGAUAAGCCUGCUGUCGGUAGUCAGCUGCGCUUAGAACGAAUUCUCAAUGCUUUGAAUCUAUAAAUUAACUGUAGUUUAGCACAACUGCUUCAGUUUGAGUUUUAAACUUGACAAGCAAACAGAAAAUAUAUACAAAUUCAUCAUGAAAGUGCUAUUCUUCCUCGCUCUCUUUGUUGCCGCAAUUUGCGCCGUUAUGGGUCAAAGCUGCCCGGUCAACUUCAAGUGGGAUGCUGGUAAUAAACUUUGCCUCGCUGAGCGCCCCAUUCAUGGCGAAUGUCCUGCCGGCUCGCAAUACAAUUUGAAUUACAACAAGUGCGUUUAUGGAGCUCGCGGUUAAAUGAUUUUAGUUUAUGGCCUCGCUUUGUUCUUUGUCGACACAUGUUAUGAAUAAGAAUAAAAAAAAUAUGAAAAGCUGAAA